UUUUACGGUGGUUCUGUAAAAGAGUUGGAUCCGACGCCCCUAGAAGGCUACUAUAGGCUCUCCUUCUC
rnacentral:ribozyme from 1 species